rnacentral:rRNA from 1 species
GACGAACGCUGGCGGCGUGCUUAACACAUGCAAGUCGAACGGAAAGGCCCUGCUUUUGUGGGGUGCUCGAGUGGCGAACGGGUGAGUAACACGUGAGUAACCUGCCCUUGACCUUGGGAUAACUUCAGGAAACUGGGGCUAAUACCGGAUAGGAGCUCCUGCUGCAUGGUGGGGGUUGGACAGUUUCGGCGGUUGGGGAUGUACUCGCGGCUUAUCAGCUUGUUGGUGGGGUAGUGGCUUACCAAGGCUUUGACGGGUAGCCGGCAUGGGAGGGGGGACAGCCACAUUGGGCCUGAGGGAGGGCGCAGAGUCCUAUGGUAGGCAGCAGGGGGGAGUAUUGCACAAUGGGGGGACGUCUGAGGCAGAAACGCCGCGUGCGGGAUGACGGCCUUCGGGGGGUAAACCGCUGUCGGCUGUGACGAAGCGGGAGUGACGGUAAUGGGUAAAGAAGCACCGGCUAACUACGUG